rnacentral:rRNA from 1 species
UACGGAGGAUCCAAGCGUUAUCCGGAAUCAUUGGGUUUAAAGGGUCCGUAGGCGGUCUGGUAAGUCAGUGGUGAAAGCCCAUCGCUCAACGGUGGAACGGCCAUUGAUACUGCUGGACUUGAAUUACUGGGAAGCAACUAGAAUAUGUAGUGUAGCGGUGAAAUGCUUAGAGAUUACAUGGAAUACCAAUUGCGAAGGCAGGUUGCUACCAGUGGAUUGACGCUGAUGGACGAAAGCGUGGGUAGCGAACAGG